CCUACGGGGUGCAGCGGUAGGGAAUAUUGCUCAAUGGGGGAAACCCUGAAGCAGCAACGCCGCGUGGAGGAUGAAGGUUUUCGGAUUGUAAACCCCUUUUGUUAGAGAAGAUAAUGACGGUAACUAACGAAUAAGCCCCGGCUAACUCCGUGCCAGCAGCCGCGGUAAUACGGAGGGUGCAAGCGUUACUCGGAAUGACUGGGCGUAAAGGGCGCGUAGGCGGGCUAGCAAGUCAGAUGUGAAAUCCUAUGGCUUAACCAUAGAACUGCAUUUGAAACUGUUAUUCUAGAGUAUGGGAGAGGUAGGUGGAAUUCUUGGUGUAGGGGUAAAAUGCGUAGAGAUCAAGAGGAAUACUCAUUGCGAAGGCGACCUGCUAGAACAUAACUGACGCUGAUGCGCGAAAGCGUGGGGAGCAAACAGGAUUAGAUACCCCAGUAGUC
rnacentral:rRNA from 1 species